GAUGAACGCUGGCGGCGUGCUUAACACAUGCAAGUCGAACGAUGAAGCCCAGCUUGCUGGGUGGAUUAGUGGCGAACGGGUGAGUAACACGUGAGUAACCUGCCUUUAACUCUGGGAUAAGCCUGGGAAACUGGGUCUAAUACCGGAUAGGAGCGUCCACCGCAUGGUGGGUGUUGGAAAGAUUUAUCGGUUUUGGAUGGACUCGCGGCCUAUCAGGUUGUUGGUGAGGUAAUGGCUCACCAAGGCGACGACGGGUAGCCGGCCUGAGAGGGUGACCGGCCACACUGGGACUGAGACACGACCCAGACUCCUACGGGAGGCAGCAGUGGGGAAUAUUGCACAAUGGGCGCAAGCCUGAUGCAGCGACGCCGCGUGAGGGAUGACGGCCUUCGGGUUGUAAACCUCUUUCAGUAGGGAAGAAGCGAAAGUGACGGUACCUGCAGAAGAAGCACCGGCUAACUACGUG
rnacentral:rRNA from 1 species